UGACUGAACCAUGUUAUCCUCAAUGUCCCAGUUGGCAAACUCUGGAUCCUCUUCUGCCGGCUGUUUUGUCUUCCUAGUCAGGUAUCCUCUCUUUCCUUUCCCUGAGAUAAAUUUCAGAACGGAUGACGACCACUGUAGGUAGUUGUCUCCGUUCAGCCUGUGAUUUGUGAUGCAGCAUAGGACAGUCUCUGAUAGGGCUGCUGGAUUCGUGCGUUUCAGUGACGGAUCCUCUGUAGUCACAGAGGGUGACUGUGGAGGGGAGACUGUGCGAGGGUUUUCAGCGUUGGUCAUGACUAGAGGAUGAGAGAUAGAGAAGGAGAUAGGAGUUUAGAGAAGGUGAACGGGGCUUAGAUCUAAUGGAUAUACCC
rnacentral:lncRNA from 1 species